GUCAAUACUGUCAGUUUGUCACUCCAUGCACAUGCAAUGAUAUUUUUUACUAUUACGUCGUUUACUGUGACAAGGGUGUUGGUGAUAAAAAUAUAAAUAUAUAAAUUUGGGAUGAAUUUCAAAGAAGAGAUUUGAUGGAAAAUGAAAUUUAGAUAACGUCGAUGAAUUUUUUAAUGGUUAAAGUGGAAAUCGCAAUUGUUUCUUUGGUUGUUGUUGUGGAACUUUUGUGGUGAAAGAUUGUCAAAAUUUAAUAACGUUUCGUCUCCUAAAUUCUAAAAUAAUGGAAGACAGUGAAACAAUGUAAGUAUGUACAAUGUCCCAUCUGACAAUAAUGCAGGAAAGAGGGGAGGGGGCAAAAGGCGGAGCAUUUAAAAAAGCGCGACCCGGGGGACGCGGGAAUAACUUGAAACGACUGAAUAUUUAAUAUAACUGUUUUAUUAUGUGCACAAGGUCUGAAUUCACAGACUUUGCUUUUCCGUUAUUUUCAAUAUUUUUCUUAUUUUGUUUAUGUUUUUAUCUUCGCUCUUUCGGUCGAUUAUUUUUCCACAAAUAUAUAUUUUUAACCAUUUUAAAUUGAAUAACCAUUUUAAAUUGAAUAAAAAAUUCAUUUGCUAACCUGUAAACAAUUUGUGGGAGGUUUUCAUUGUGUUUUUAAUCCUGUAAGGGCUAUAAAAAGCGAACAACUUGCCG